rnacentral:ribozyme from 1 species
CCCUCGUGAUAGUAACAAAUCGCCAUCAAGACAAUCACCAGUUAGAACAUCUGG